CAGCUUUUAUUCUUGGUUUACGGUGUGAUCUGCGUGCCGCAGCUCGGUAACCAUUGACCUGGUCUUACGUGUGCAGUGACGAGCUGUGUGACAAUGCCAAGUGUUCUGUGGUCCAGCGUGGAAAAGCCCUAAAGCCCUAUGCCAAGCCCAGAGCUGGCACAGCGAUGUAAUUCUUGGGAAAUGACUACCAUAAUGGCUUUCCUAGGGGAUCUCUACCUUUCCUCCAAGAGAAUUAUGUUAUUUGGAGCCUCUACAGGCAAAGAGAUUAGUGUCAUUUAUUUCCCAGAAGAGUUGGAGAAAAGCAGAAUGAUUCUGAAGAACCUGUCCUGGGCUCUCUUUCUAAGAUUCUGUCUGUGAUACAUAUGGAAUGAGAGCAAAUGCAGUAUUCUCCAGGACAUUGAGAGAAAACAGCAGAUUUGAAGAACUGAAUACACGCUGAUUUUGCAAUAAGAGAAGACUGCUCACUCUAUUGAUCAUAGACUGCUGACAGAAAAAAAAGAAAAAGAUUGACAAAUUCAGCUUGGAAGACCCUGGGCACAACCUACAGUGCAACAAUGAACAAAGGAUACUUUAAAACCAACAGGUAACCCAACAAACUCAACCCUGGCAAAUGACACUAUCUGCAACUCGCUAAUCAAAACAAAAUUUACCAAAGGCAGAAGAGACAUGUAACUAACCUUAACAACAACAGAAACAAGUAGCAGUAUUCUCAAAGAAGAAUUCAAAACCCACAUGAAAGUUGUUUUACUGUUCUCAAUGUUAAUACAAACUUUUAUCAAUUUGUAUUUUAAACAGCACUAAUUUUGACUAUAAAUGCACUCUUUAGCACCAUGAUUAUUUUUCCAGUUCCUGAGAACUAAAAUCUUUAGAAUUUAGGCCAGACCAUAAAAGUUUCAUCUCCUUUCACCCUGAAAAAAACAAUCUCCCCUCUCACCAGAAAACCACCCCCUACCCAGCCUUCCUAUUCAGUUCAUUUUUACAAAAGUGCUGUAAUUCCCCAUAACUUGCCAUUUUCUUCAAAUGCUUUUUUAGUUAUUUUUGUAAAUGGGAUUUAGCUUUAUUAUAUUUAAGAAAAAUAGCAAAUACUACUUUAGAAUUUUUUUUGCAGACAGAAAUGCAGUUUUAACUGUUUGUAUAGUAUAAAACCCCCAAAAAAUAAAGAUGGAAAAUUCAAAAUGAAACACUGAAUAACAAUUCUUAAGGGUAAACAAACAGUAACUCAGCAACAGUAUAAGCUAUUUUCUCAAAAUGUAAUACCUACUUUUUCAUCUUUUUUGCAUUGUAUUUGACUUGGUAAGAUGCUUGGAUUAAUUUGUCUGGACCACUGUCAAACUGAUGUGGAAUGACCUUUUGAAAGUGCUAAAAGCAAUCAGAGCACAAGAUUACAUAUAAUUAACAGCUGCAAGGAAACAGACACUACACAUUUCAGAUACCUCUUAAAAUUAUUAUAACCACAGCUUACCUGUAACAUUCCUUCCAUGUCAAGUUGCAGUAAUUCUGCCUGGUUCAUCUGCAGUAAUGCUAAACCUACUCGAAAUACUAUCUCUAAACCCUGAAAAGAGAAGUCAAAAAAAUAUCCAACAAUUACUCAUGCCAUUGUCAACAGCACAGAGUUUUUCUACUAUUUACUAACAUUGGAAAUCUCACCCAAGAAAGCACAAGUAAAAAGGACUACUGAAAAUACCUCUCAACAAAUACCUUCUGUGUUUCUUUUUUUGUUCCAAGGACAAGCAAUCUGGCUAUUUCUCCUGAUGCCAGAUAUCUCCCUCAGAGAAGUUAGUGAUGAGGCAAAAUCUCAAGUGACAGGAAUUCUCUAAGUCAGCUCCAUCAACCAUUUUAAGUAUAUCUAGUAGAGAAAUCCCCAGCACUUCUCAAAAAAGCUAUUUAUUUUCAGACACGGUACAGUGCAGUUAAACUACUGGGGGAACAAAAAAAGUAAUUUCUCACUAUAUACCCCAUCUUGGACUUUCCUGAGGGAAAGCUGAAAGCUUCCACCUUUGACUUACUGCUUUCUAAAAGAUGACUGCAAGGCAAGCAUAAUCUGUGAUUUUUUACUAGUUACAAUUAUGCAAAACUCUAAUCCUAAACACAGCAGAGGUGUCUUUGUGAUAAUGAUACUGAAUAAUUCCCAAAAUUUCUUUGGCACUGGUCAUCAUCUGGACAAUAAAAAGCUCCCCCUUCUUGGCUUGCAUAUCCCCAUGAACUUUAGCUUUGGCCUGGAAGCAGCAUAAAUUUCCACUGCAAACUCACCAUAAUACUCAAGAAUGGAUGUCCCUGCUGCAUGCAAUGCUAAUGCACUGCAUCCAGAAAGAACAGAUUUGGGAACACUUCAACAGGCUUAGAGCACACAGCUACACACAAUAUCAACUUUCAGUGACUUUGCUGCUCUUCCUUGACAAACUGCACACACAGACACCUUCCCUUAAAAUAAUCUGAUCAGUAUAAGAAAUAAAAAGCAAGACUAUGAGAUUUGUCCAUCAUGAUGGGAUUUAGACCACUCCCUAAAUAACUACUUUCAACAGCUACUCUUGAAAUAUAACAUUUAACUACUAUUUAGUAGUUACCUCAGACAUAAAGAUAUCAAAUAUUCUUGUUGCAAUUGGUAGUGGAAAAGUCGUAAGGAAUAUAGUUAAAAACCACGACGAUGCAUACAUAGAAGUGUGAAAACUCUGAGACUGAAAGUGCACAUAAAGCU